rnacentral:lncRNA from 1 species
ACAUUAUAUAUAUAUAUAUAUAUAGAUUGAAUCAUAGUCAAUCAAUAGUUUACAUGGAAGAGAGAGAUAGAGAGCUUUUACUAUUAUUGUCAAACUCAAUUAUGUUUUAUUUGUUUCAAACCUGUCACUGCAAUAUAUAUCAUCAGCCAUUUUGUUGCAACAGAGAGUAAAAGUGUUCACUUGUUCGACACAUAACUACCACAAGUAGAACAAUCUAGAAAAGAGUUCUGACUAUAUAAUACAAACCAUGGCAAAUUUAAAUCUCUCAGUCUCAUAUACCAACAAUGCUUCAAGGACCAUCACCAUCAUUUUUCUUUCUUACAGCAGAACUUUAUAAAAAAACAUAAACUAAACACUCUCGUCUUGCCUUUUGGUCCAGAUACAUAGAUGUUAGACAAGGCAAAGAGUAGUGUGUUGUUUUUAAAAAGAUCACCUGGUAAAACUCUGGGAGAUGAGAGCAAAUAAACAAAGCGAUGAUGAUGACGGUCUUGGUUUAUCUAUCUGAGAGUUUUAUAAGCCAUGCCUGUGAAAAACAGAAACUGUUUGGAGGUGUAUCUACACGAAUGAUUGUAAAACAGAGGGGUCAGAUUUUCUUUUUUUUCCUAAGAAACUGUCCUUUGUGGCGUGCUGUCUGCUUUUAUCUUCAGAGUACCUAGAGCGAACAAGAGGAAUACGAAACAACGUCAGAGAACGAGAGAGAAACAAACAUGAGACAACAUAAGGUGAAAGAAGAGAGUAAAAAUAUGCUUACAGCCUUAGUGCAACGGCCUACAAAGAAAUUCACAGGUUUGUUAUUUGCCAUAACGAUUACUUAUAUCCUCCUCCAUCCCACCCACCGUCUGGUUCCUUCCUCUUGAGAGUACCACCUGACAUUUGAUACAUUCUUGCUUCGUCUCUCAAAGGUAAAGAACCAGAGGAAGAUAGUUGUCUUUGUACGAGUGCUGCUUCAUCAGUUUCAUGCCCUCCUGGUCCAGAGUUCAAGUCAAGACCAGAUCUAAACCAUUUUGCAUUGUUGCUGCUGUCCGAAACUCCACCAUUGCUACUACCGUUUGGGAGAUUAACAACAUACGGCCUUGGGUAAUUAGAAGGGAUGGCAACUCCUGGACCCAAUAUUUGAGAGUUGACAGGAGGGAAGCAUAGCCUGCCACUUGAUGAAGAGUCCAUGUAUGGUGUUGAAGCACCUGAAAAAUUUGCUGAGGAAAGAGGAAAGCUGGAACCAAAAGGGAACCCAGGAUACUGAAAUGCUGAUGGUGGGAAUGAAACUGCUGGAGAAGACAGUAAAACAGGGCCUCUGUACAUAUCAGGUGUAUAUGAUGAAACUUCAGAUGUUGGACCAACCAUUCUCUGCGGUCCAUUGCCACGUUCAGGCAAGACUUGAGGAAUGCUCAUUGCUGAAUAAUUGUUAACAGCAGGAAACCAAGAUGAGAAGCCAGGCCUUAUUCCACUGAUCAUUGGCUGUGCACUUCGGGAAUUUUGACUAAAACCCAGAGAUGACUCAACAACGUUAACAUCAUCAACAGCAGGUCCAUCGUUUAAAUCAAAAUCCCUACUACCACCAGAAGAUAAGUUUGCCUGUUGAAAAGUUGAAUUCACUCGAUGAACACUGCUUAUUGUAUGAUUAUUCAUAUCAGCUGGAUCAUCAAGUCUGUUUAGAUCAAGAUCCAGAAAUAUUGUUAUAAUGUUUUUCAACACAUUUGUUAAGAAAAUUAAAUAUAUAUAUAUAUUUAAAUUAAAAGAUAUCAAAUUAUAUUAUGAUUUAAGUAGUUAAAAGAUUAUAUAUUAGCAUUAAGGAAAUAUAUUUAAUACAAAUUUUAAAUAAUGAUCCGAAUAAAAAUAUCAUACAUGAAUCAAGGUGAGGUUGUUAACCCAUCCGGAUUUUUAGGAGUGGAUGUUAUAUUAGGAAUGAUAUAUUAUAAAUCUAUAUUAUUAGUAAUAAAUGAAUUAACUAAUUUCUAGUGAGGGUCCAUUUUUAAAAAAAUCAUACAUGAAUCAAAGUUGUGACUUGUGUUUUAAUAUAUAAGAUGUUUAUUUUCGUUAUAAAAAACAUUUAAAACCUUGGCUCCCAUUGUCCCUUUGUAACUUUGAGGCUUUUCUUUUUUAGAGGAUUUCAUGUUAAUUACGUCAUUGGUCUUCUGCGUAUGGCCUUUUUCUUUUGUAUAAUGAAUCAUAUGAUAUAUAGAACUGCAUGAUUAAACAAAACUUGUAAAACUGUGUUUUGAAUAUGAGAAGGUAUUUGUAUAUUACAUUUUAUAGUUUAAUUAUAACUAGUUUCAUUUCGCAGUUUUCGUUUCAUUAAGUAUGUUUAUUUGACAUAUUAAAUCCAUGCUUUGUCAUUUUAUUGUAUUAUUAGUCAGCUAUUUCUUAUAUAUUUUUUGGAAGUGUUGGUGGGAAUGACUUGUAAAAUACUGAAAUAAAAUACAUUUUUCAACUAGCUAGAGAGUAACAAGCCCCGUGGUCCUCCUUGUGAACAACACCUCUCUAAUUAACAGACUUUUGCAUUUUCAUAUUCAUGGUGGUUGCGUCGAUAUAUAGAGUCGUAGGUAUUACUCCAACAAUUAACUUAUCUUUAUAUAUUUAUAUAACUUUUGUUAAUCAUUGAGCUAAGGCUUUUGGUAGAUGUCCUCACAAGGUUUUGAUCCCCAACAUCCAUCUAUAAAUCAUUAUAUAUAUAUAAACACAUGUAAUAUCGAUUAAUUAACAACACUUUUAUUUUCUAAAGCAGAACUGUACAAUCUGUAUCUAUUAACAAACAAAAAUGAAUUAUUUGGUAAGAAUGUUCGAUAUAUAAAAGUUGCUAUGAUUCUUUUGUGAAUCUUGAAUUUUUGUUGCUGGUUGUUGCCAACGAACUCUUGUUGGUCGAGUUUACAUUAUAUUAUGGAGUAAAUUCCAUGAUAAAGUUUUUGAAAAUAUACAGGUCCACAUAAAAGGCCAGGCCAUUUUCUACAAGUAUAAAUAAAAUAACAAAUAUUAUAUAAACAGUUGCAUACCAUACUAUUUUUCUAUUUUAAUUAUAAACAUUAAUUUAUAAUAAUAGUCAAGUAGCAUGAUAAACAUAUUUUUAUAACACAAAAAAAAAAAUUGAUAAAUCUUUCUUAUAAUGUAUUUGUUGAAAUGCUGGUUUCAGUGAUUUUCUAUGGAGAUGUUUUGUUUAAUGAUAUAACAUCCUAAAAUUCUAUAUAAAACUCAUAAUAUGCUAGAACAUCCACAUUAGGAGUAUUUUAGAGUAUCCAAUGAGAACAAAAGAAAAAUAUUGAAAAAGAAGGAAAAUGGUGUGGAAAUGCUAUAAAAGUUUUUUAAAUUAGAUAUGUAAUAUUUUUCUUUUUGAGAAGCCCAUCUUCACAUGUCAUAUUGGUUUAAUUUUUUUUUUAAAUAAAUAGAUAAUCAAAUUUUAAGUAAAAACCAAUGUUGUAUUUGGUUUGAUACUUAUAAGAGUAUCUCACCAUUGAAGAAGUUUUUUAUGCUCUAUAGUCAUAGUAUUUCACAUGGCAUAUCCGAGAGAAACACAAAAAUAACAAAAACAUGCAUUCAACAGUACACAUAUGAAUGAUAUCAUCAGCCAUCUUGACUUGUCACUAUUGCUCAACGUGACUAUUAUUAAAGAAAGACUGCAUAGUAAAUGGUUAUUACCGUGGCGUAAUAAUAUGUAUUGUAACAACUGGUGUUGUGUCAUUAACUCAAGAAGCAAAAGAUGGAUGCUCAUCAUGUGAGUUCACCACCGCUCCUUCAAAACAAAGCCACCAAACACCCAUCUAAACACACUAUAUUUAAUUAUCUCACUCCUCUCAUAUUAAAGUAAUCAUCACCUCACUUUUAUCUCUCUCUCUCUGUUUUAUUCUUCUUCUUGUGAAUGGUGUUGUAGAGAAGAAGAAUGGCUUCAAGUGCUUCAAAGUUCAUCAAAUGUGUAACUGUUGGUGAUGGUGCCGUUGGUAAAACCUGUAUGCUCAUCUGCUACACCAGCAACAAGUUCCCUACUGUGAGUAGUUCGUUAACUACACCUCUCUCUCUCUGAAAUUUUGAUCAAGAAUCUCAUCUGGGUUUCUCAGAUUCACUUGAAAGUUCCAAUCUUUUACUGAAAAUCUUUCUGGGUUUGUCAAAUUUUAGCUUCCCUAUUGCUUAAAGGUUCUUAGAAUUCAUCGGUGUAAUUCAAAGUUAGCUCCUUUUUAUAGGGAUUAUGCAUGAACUAAGAUCCAGCUUUGUGUUUCUCCUAACAACAUCUGGAUUCUUCAGAAUGUUCUUGAAAGUUUCAAUCUUUUACUGAAAAUCUUUCUGGGUUUGUCAAAUUUUAGCUUCCACAUUGCUUAAAGGUUCUUAGAAUUCAUCUGUGUGAUUCAAAGUUAGCUCCUUUACUAGGGGGAUUAUGCAUGAACUAUGAUCCAGAUAUUUGUGUUCUCUUUCUCCUAACAAUCUUUCUUUAGAGUUGAUUUAUGCAAAACUGUGAAUUGGUUGUAAACAGGACUAUGUACCAACGGUUUUUGACAACUUUAGUGCAAACGUUGUAGUUGAAGGAACUACUGUGAACUUAGGGCUAUGGGAUACUGCUGGUAACCAACAUUUCUUUUCUUUUGAUUGAUUUGAGAUAUUGUUGCAUAGACCAAGAUCCUGUUUGGGUUGUGUUUUGUUUUGCAGGGCAAGAAGACUAUAACAGAUUAAGGCCUUUAAGUUACAGAGGAGCAGAUGUUUUCGUCUUGUCUUUCUCAUUGGUCAGCCGAGCUAGCUAUGAAAAUGUUUUUAAAAAGGUUUUGAUUCAUGCAUCUCUCUUUGAACUCAAUAAGACUUGUAACAAUGUCAAGUCAUUUCUAAUGUUAUGUAUGACUUCUUCUUGUUGAGUCUCAGUGGAUCCCUGAACUCCAACACUUUGCUCCAGGAGUUCCAUUAGUUCUUGUCGGUACCAAAUUGGGUAAGAAACUGAUGAGCAUUUGCCUCUGCAUUGUUUCAGAUAUGUUGCAUGUAUUAUUGAUUCUUAGUUACUACAUCAAAAUGUAGAUCUCCGUGAGGAUAAGCAUUAUCUGACAUUGCUUAAAGGUUCUUAGAAUUCAUCUGUGUGAUUCAAAGUUAGCUCCUUUACUAGGGGGAUUAUGCAUGAACUAUGAUCCAGAUAUUUGUGUUCUCUUUCUCCUAACAAUCUUUCUUUAGAGUUGAUUUAUGCAAAACUGUGAAUUGGUUGUAAACAGGACUAUGUACCAACGGUUUUUGACAACUUUAGUGCAAACGUUGUAGUUGAAGGAACUACUGUGAACUUAGGGCUAUGGGAUACUGCUGGUAACCAACAUUUCUUUUCUUUUGAUUGAUUUGAGAUAUUGUUGCAUAGACCAAGAUCCUGUUUGGGUUGUGUUUUGUUUUGCAGGGCAAGAAGACUAUAACAGAUUAAGGCCUUUAAGUUACAGAGGAGCAGAUGUUUUCGUCUUGUCUUUCUCAUUGGUCAGCCGAGCUAGCUAUGAAAAUGUUUUUAAAAAGGUUUUGAUUCAUGCAUCUCUCUUUGAACUCAAUAAGACUUGUAACAAUGUCAAGUCAUUUCUAAUGUUAUGUAUGACUUCUUCUCGUUGAGUCUCAGUGGAUCCCUGAACUCCAACACUUUGCUCCAGGAGUUCCAUUAGUUCUUGUCGGUACCAAAUUAGGUAAGAAACUGAUGAGCAUUUGCCUCUGCAUUGUUUCAGAUAUGUUGCAUGUAUUAUUGAUUCUUAGUUACUACAUCAAAAUGUAGAUCUCCGUGAGGAUAAGCAUUAUCUGGCUGACCAUCCUGGACUAUCCCCUGUAACUACUGCACAGGUUUGAUCUCAGUAGAUUUCAGUAGCUUUGUGUGUGUAUGAGUUAAACGUUUUGGUAUGACAGGGAGAGGAAUUGCGUAAGCUAAUUGGUGCAACAUAUUACAUUGAAUGUAGCUCAAAAACUCAACAGGUAUAUAACAGAUUCAUUUACAUUGACUCGAGCUGCAUAGUCUUAGACAACUCUUGAGCGUUGAGAGUUUACAUUUUGCAGAAUGUCAAAGCAGUUUUUGAUUCGGCAAUCAAGGAAGUGAUCAAACCGGUGGUUAAACAGAAGGACAAGACCAAGAAAAAGAAGAAGCAACAGUCGAAUCACCACGGGUGUUUAUCGUGAGUGUAUACACAACAAACCUUCAUAGAUUUCUGCUUCUAGAUUCCUUUGAAAAAGAAACUGACUUCACCUCUUUGUUUUUGGACAGAAACGUUUUGUGUGGGAGGAUAGUGACUCGGCAUUGAUGAUAACCCAAACUCUGUCUGAUGUUUUGUAUUCCACUUUUGAGUUUGUAUGAUAAAUGAGAGACAUUAUAUAUAUAUAUAUAUAUAGAUUGAAUCAUAGUCAAUCAAUAGUUUACAUGGAAGAGAGAGAUAGAGAGCUUUUACUAUUAUUGUCAAACUCAAUUAUGUUUUAUUUGUUUCAAACCUGUCACUGCAAUAUAUAUCAUCAGCCAUUUUGUUGCAACAGAGAGUAAAAGUGUUCACUUGUUCGACACAUAACUACCACAAGUAGAACAAUCUAGAAAAGAGUUCUGACUAUAUAAUACAAAC